ACGGGGUGCAGCAGGCGCGAAAACAUUACAAUGCGGGAAACCGCGAUAAGGGGAUACCGAGUGCCAGCAUAUUAUGUUGGCUGUCCACAUGUGUAAACGGCAUGUGUUAGCAAGGGCCGGGCAAGACCGGUGCCAGCCGCCGCGGUAACACCGGCGGCCCGAGUGGUAAUCACUUUUAUUGGGUCUAAAGGGUCCGUAGCCGGUUUGAUCAGUUCUUCGGGAAAUCUGACAGCUCAACUGUUAGGCUUCCGGGGAAUACUGUCAGACUUGGGACCGGGAGAGGUAAGAGGUACUACAGGGGUAGGAGUGAAAUCUUGUAAUCCCUGUGGGACCACCAGUGGCGAAGGCGUCUUACCAGAACGGGUCCGACGGUGAGGGACGAAAGCUGGGGGCACGAACCGGAUUAGAUACCCGGGUAGUCCCAGCCGUAAACGAUGUUCGCUAGGUGUCAGGGACGGUGCGACCGUUUCUGGUGCCGUAGGGAAGCCGUGAAGCGAACCACCUGGGAAGUACGGCCGCAAGGCUGAAACUUAAAGGAAUUGGCGGGGGAGCAC
rnacentral:rRNA from 1 species